ACCAUUUAGUUGGCACUCUAAAAGAACUGCCAGUGAUAAGCUGGAGGAAGGCGGGGAUGACGUCAAGUCCUCAUGGCCCUUAUGUGUUGGGCUACACACGUGCUACAAUGGUAUUUACAGUGAGAAGCAAAGAGGCGACUCUAAGCCAAUCCCAAAAAGAUACCUCAGUUCGGAUUGUACUCUGCAACUCGAGUACAUGAAGCUGGAAUUACUAGUAAUCGCGGAUCAGCGCGCCGCGGUGAAUACGUUCCCGGGUCUUGUACACACCGCCCGUCACACCAUGGAAGUUGGUUACACCUUAAGGCAAAGCAUAAAACCUUUGACUACGGUACGAUCAGCGACUGGGGUGAAGUCGUAACAAGGUAGCCGUAGGGGAACCUGCGGCUGGAUCACCUCCUUUCUAAGGAAAUCGAAAAAUAUUAAAUCAAUUAUUUUCGAUUUAAAAAAAUCGGUUAAUGUGACCGUCCUCAUUUCUCUUCUUUUAAUGUCUCUAGGUAAAUCGAGGGGCCGGUAGCUCAGGUGGUUAGAGCGCACCCCUGAUAAGGGUGAGGUCGGAAGUUCGAAUCUUCCUCGGCCCACCAAUAUUAUGGGGGAUUAGCUCAGCUGGGAGAGCGCCUGAUUUGCAUUCAGGAGGCCAGCGGUUCGAUCCCGCUAUCCUCCACCAAAAUUUGAGACAUUUAGCUUUUUUAAAUUGUGAAUAUUAUUAUUAUUAUCAAUAUCUAUAUCCGAUUGUUUUCAGAUGUUUUUUUGAAAACAAUCAAAACAAAAAUUUAAUUUAUAACAGAAAAUUUUUUUCUGUGCAUAAAUCAAGCGUUUAAGGGCGAUUGGCGGAUGCCUUGGCACUGUAAGACGAUGAAGGACGUGGUAUACUGCGAUAAGUUUC
rnacentral:sRNA from 1 species